UACGAAGGGGGCUAGCGUUGUUCGGAGUUACUGGGCGUAAAGGGCGCGUAGGCGGCGCACCAAGUCAGGCGUGAAAGCCCCGGGCUCAACCUGGGAAUUGCGAUGAAGACUGCAAGGCUUGAAUCUGGCAGAGGGGGGUAGAAUUCCACGUGUAGCAGUGAAAUGCGUAGAGAUGUGGAGGAACACCGAUGGCGAAGGCAGCCCCCUGGGUCAAGAUUGACGCUCAUGCACGAAAGCGUGGGGAGCAAACAGG
rnacentral:rRNA from 1 species